rnacentral:lncRNA from 1 species
GUGAGCUAGUUUUUCAGUCUCCCUUGUGGUCAAUGGAGAGAAAAAUGUGGCCAUAGGUGAGGCUCAUGAUCUGGUGUGUAUCCUAGGAUGAGAUAACUGUACCUUGAUGUGCAUGCUUCUGCUUAUUGACUGCAGAAGAGCUGUAGGCAGCUACCUUGGAUACAAAUGUUUGCUCAGUAGAGCAAUCCUUUUCAAUAAUCCCUGCAAGUAUUAAU